UGGCUGUUUUUCUUUACAGAGAUGAAGCUAUGCGGACAGCUGGCACUCCAAUCACCAAAUCCAGCAAAGAUAUGGAAAACCAUGUCUUCCUGAAAGCAAAGACAAGGGAGGAGUAUCUUAGUUUGGUGGCAAGGCUUAUUCUGCACUUUCGAGACAUUCAUAAGAAGAGUCGAGCUGGUGGUAAGCAGUGUUUAAUUCCAAACUUUG